rnacentral:rRNA from 1 species
GCUACUGCUAUCGGAAUUCGAUUAAGCCAUGCGAGUCGAGAGGGUUCGGCCCUCGGCAGACUGCUCAGUAACACGUGGAUAACCUGCCCUCAGGUAGGGGAUAAUCUCGGGAAACUGAGGAUAAUACCCUAUAGACAUUCUUUGCUGGAAUGCUUGGAUGUUCAAAGGCAACGCCUGAGGAUGGGUCUGCGGCCUAUCAGGUCGUAGUGGGUGUAAUGGACCCACUAGCCAGCGACGGGUACGGGCCUUGGAAGAGGUAGCCCGGAGAUGGACUCUGAGACACGAGUCCAGGCCCUACGGGGCGCAGCAGGCGCGAAAACUUCGCAAUGCGGGAAACCGUGACGAGGGAAUUCCGAGUGCUCAUACAAUGUAUGGGCUUUUCUGACGUGUAAAAAGCAUCAGGAAUAAGGGCUGGGUAAGACCGGUGCCAGCCGCCGCGGUAAUACCGGCAGCUCUAGUGGUAGCCACUUUUAUUGGGCCUAAAGCGUCCGUAGCCGGUCAGGUAAAUCCUUGGGUAAAUCGUACAGCUUAACUGUGCGGCUUCCGAGGAGACUGCCUGACUUGGGACCGGGAGAGGUUGGAGGUACUCCUGGGGUAGGGGUGAAAUCCUGUAAUCCUAGGUGGACCACCGGUGGCGAAGGCGUCCAACCAGAACGGCUCCGACGGUGAGGGACGAAGGCUAGGGGCGCAAACCGGAUUAGAUACCCGGGUAGUCCUAGCUGUAAACGCUGCAGACUUGGUGUUGGAGAUCCCACGAGGGUGUCCAGUGCCGGAGAGAAGUUGUUAAGUUUGCCGCCUGGGAAGUAUGGUCGCAAGACUGAAACUUAAAGGAAUUGGCGGGGGAGCACCGCAACGGGAGGAGCGUGCGGUUUAAUUGGAUUCAACGCCGGG